AAGAUGAACAGACGUGCCCAGCCUGUUCCCUGUAACCAGGUUCUGGCCUUUCCCUGGGCCUAUGAACAAACCCGAGCUGGAAGGAGUUCAGAACUGAAUGGAGCUCCCUGAUUACCACUCAUGGGAUGAGAGAGGCACAGCUUAAAGACCUAGAGACAAAAAAUGUACCCUCAGAGAAAGAGCAUUUACAAUACUGAGAAUAGUCCAAAGAAUAUGCCAUCUUUAACGGCACGGGAGGCCACCCCACGAAGCUUCUGAACGAAGAGAAACCCCUGAAAUGAGCGUGUAAUCCCAUAAGGGGAGCAAGGCAAGAUUCCUGGCCUAAGUGAAAGCUCUGGUGUCUGCUUACAAAUCAAGAAGAACGCAGAGGCCCAGCCCUCCCCAGCUGUUUCUUACAGUGAGAUUCCAACAUCGCACUCGCAUGGAAGGUGUGUGGAAAGGUGGUGCCCGAGAAACAAGCCCGUUUGCCCAGAGCAGGUUCAGGCCAUGGACACCUGCUCACAC